AGAGUUUGAUCCUGGCUCAGAUUGAACGCUGGCGGCAUGCCUUACACAUGCAAGUCGAACGGCAGCGCGGGGCAACCUGGCGGCGAGUGGCGAACGGGUGAGUAAUAUAUCGGAACGUACCCUGGAGUGGGGGAUAACGUAGCGAAAGUUACGCUAAUACCGCAUACGAUCUAAGGAUGAAAGUGGGGGAUCGCAAGACCUCAUGCUCCUGGAGCGGCCGAUAUCUGAUUAGCUAGUUGGUAGGGUAAAAGCCUACCAAGGCAUCGAUCAGUAGCUGGUCUGAGAGGACGACCAGCCACACUGGAACUGAGACACGGUCCAGACUCCUACGGGAGGCAGCAGUGGGGAAUUUUGGACAAUGGGCGCAAGCCUGAUCCAGCAAUGCCGCGUGAGUGAAGAAGGCCUUCGGGUUGUAAAGCUCUUUUGUCAGGGAAGAAACGGCCUGUUCUAAUACAGUGGGCUAAUGACGGUACCUGAAGAAUAAGCACCGGCUAACUACGUGCCAGCAGCCGCGGUAAUACGUAGGGUGCAAGCGUUAAUCGGAAUUACUGGGCGUAAAGCGUGCGCAGGCGGUUUUGUAAGUCUGUCGUGAAAUCCCCGGGCUCAACCUGGGAAUGGCGAUGGAGACUGCAAGGCUAGAGUUUGGCAGAGGGGGGUAGAAUUCCACGUGUAGCAGUGAAAUGCGUAGAUAUGUGGAGGAACACCGAUGGCGAAGGCAGCCCCCUGGGUCAAAACUGACGCUCAUGCACGAAAGCGUGGGGAGCAAACAGGAUUAGAUACCCUGGUAGUCCACGCCCUAAACGAUGUCUACUAGUUGUCGGGUCUUAAUUGACUUGGUAACGCAGCUAACGCGUGAAGUAGACCGCCUGGGGAGUACGGUCGCAAGAUUAAAACUCAAAGGAAUUGACGG
rnacentral:rRNA from 1 species